GUGGGGAAUCUUGCGCAAUGGGCGAAAGCCUGACGCAGCCAUGCCGCGUGAAUGAUGAAGGUCUUAGGAUUGUAAAAUUCUUUCACCGGGGACGAUAAUGACGGUACCCGGAGAAGAAGCUCCGGCUAACUUCGUGCCAGCAGCCGCGGUAAUACGAAGGGGGCUAGCGUUGCUCGGAAUUUCUGGGCGUAAAGGGCGCGUAGGCGGACAGCUUAGUCAGAGGUGAAAGCCCAGGGCUCAACCUUGGAAUUGCCUUUGAUACUGGCUGUCUUGAGUUUGGGAGAGGUGAGUGGAACUCCGAGUGUAGAGGUGAAAUUCGUAGAUAUUCGGAAGAACACCAGUGGCGAAGGCGACUCACUGGCCCAAUACUGACGCUGAGGCGCGAAAGCGUGGGGAGCAAACAGGAUUAGAUACCCCAGUAGUCC
rnacentral:rRNA from 1 species